rnacentral:piRNA from 1 species
UCUUUGACCAGUGUGUUGCAGACAGAGA